rnacentral:rRNA from 1 species
UACGUAGGGAGCAAGCGUUGUCCGGAAUCAUUGGGCGUAAAGCGCGCGUAGGCGGCCCUGUAAGUCCGUUGUGAAAGUCAAAGGCUCAACCUUUGAAAGCCGAUGGAUACUGCAGGGCUAGAGUCCGGAAGAGGCGAGUGGAAUUCCUGGUGUAGCGGUGAAAUGCGUAGAUAUCAGGAGGAACACCUGUGGCGAAGGCGUCCAUCUGGCCCGUUACUGACGCUGAGGCGCGAAAGCUAGGGGAGCAAACGGG